rnacentral:lncRNA from 10 species
GUCCAAAGCACUGUCAAGUUGCUUCUUAGAAAAUAGACCAUUGGAAAUUAUUAUUAUUUUUUUUUUUUGAGAAGGAAUCUCGCUCUGUCGCCUGACCGUUGGAAAUUCUAUAAAAUAUGUCUCCUUUGACAACAUCCAUUUUCAGAUCCAAUUCAAUGUGUGUCGCAAAAGACUAAUAACCAGGAAAUCAGUAGUCCCUGAAACGAAUACAUGUUUGAAAACUAUUAAGUUUACCAAUAACUGGUUUUCUACUUUCCUUAUGUAUAUAAGGCUACUUACCCAUUAUUUAAUUCUCUGAUAAGCUGUAAUAUUUAUCUCCAGCAAUAAAGCAAGGUAGGUGCUCAGGGAUUACCUCUUUCCCUCCUUUCUAUUCCCUCCACACAUGUAGCUGCAUCAAUUAUGUGCUUACUCAAAAUCUGUUUUGUUCUGUUCCUUUUAAUCCAUGUCAAAAAUUAUUAUCCUAUUCAAGAGGCAGGUUCCAAACUAACUGAUUUUAGAGUAGUAAGCAUUAAUGUGUAUUGUAUCAUUUGAUACAAUCAACCCUUAAAACAAGUAGUGUUAUUCUCCUUUCUCAGUGAAGAAAACUGAGACUUGGAGAAGCUAUUGACUUGCCCAGAAUCCUACAGUGGCAUAUUUUGGGCACUGAAGGCUCUUCAUUAUACAUCCAGUCUAUAAAUUUCCUGGUAUUAUUUUGGAGAUGUAUUUUUUUUUAACAGAUUUAGUGUUGUAGAUGCCACGUGCAUAGGACAGAAUAAAAACAAAUGAGUUCAGUUUUUUAAUUAUAUAUUUUAUGUGUUGGGUUCCAUCUGGGAGACGUGCAUGUGUUUCAGGAUGGAUCUGCCAACUUUGAUAGCCGUCCAUUUUUGC